rnacentral:misc_RNA from 1 species
GAAAUGCGAUAAGUAAUGUGAAUUGCAGAAUUCAGUGAAUCAUCGAAUCUUUGAACGCACAUUGCGCCCCCUGGUAUUCCGGGGGGCAUGCCUGUCCGAGCGUCAUUACAACCCUCAAGCUCAGCUUGGUGUUGGGCCCCGCCGCCCCGGCGGGCCCUAAAGUCAGUGGCGGUGCCGUCCGGCUCCGAGCGUAGUAAUUCUUCUCGCUCUGGAGGUCCGGUCGUGUGCUCGCCAGCAACCCCCAAUUUUUUUCAGGUUGACCUCAGGUCAGGCGGGGCUACCCGCUGAGUUUAA